rnacentral:rRNA from 1 species
CCUACGGGAGGCAGCAGUAGGGAAUAUUGGGCAAUGGAGGCAACUCUGACCCAGCCAUGCCGCGUGAACGAAGAAGGCGCUAUGCGUCGUAAAGUUCUUUUAGAGGGGGCGAAAACACUUGAUUCAUCAAGUACUGACGGUACCUUCGGAAUAAGCACCGGCUAACUCUGUGCCAGCAGCCGCGGUAAUACAGAGGGUGCAAGCGUUAUCCGGAAUCACUGGGUUUAAAGGGUGCGUAGGCGGGAUUAUAAGUCAGAGGUGAAAUCUCGUCGCUUAACGACGGAAUUGCCUUUGAUACUGUUUUUCUUGAAAUUUGUUGAGGUUGGCGGAAUGAGACAUGUAGCGGUGAAAUGCUUAGAUAUGUCUUAGAACACCGAUUGCGAAGGCAGCUGACUGGACAAUAUUUGACGCUGAGGCACGAAAGCGUGGGGAUCAAACAGGAUUAGAUACCCUGGUAGUCCACGCCCUAAACGAUGUUACUUGCUGUUUNUUUUUCGGAAUGAGUGGCGAAGCGAAAGCGAUAAGUAAACCACGUGGGAGUACGCCGNGAAGGGUGAAACUGAAAGAUUGACGGNUGNGAGNGCGAGACGACGACGAGGAGAGG